UACGAAGGGGGCAAGCGUUAUUCGGAAUGACUGGGCGUAAAGGGCGUGUAGGUGGAUUUGUGCGUUUGGUGUGAAAGUCCUGGGCUUAACCUGGGGGUUGCACUGAAUACGGCAAGUCUAGAGCGUGAGAGGGGAAAAUGGAAUUGCGGGUGUAGAGGUGAAAUUCGUAGAUAUCCGCAGGAACACCAAUGGCGAAGGCAGUUUUCUGGCUCACAGCUGACACUGAGGCGCGAAAGCGUGGGGAGCAAACAGG
rnacentral:rRNA from 1 species